ensembl:lncRNA
GGACGAGAAGCUAAAGGUGAAAGUCAACACAGGCAAGAAAAGGGUGGUAGAGAGCCAAACAGUGAGAAGUGCGGGGGCUGUUGUUACGGUGCUCAAGAGAGGGCUGCUGGCCUGAGGAGCAGCAAUGGCCACGGGAUCAGCCAUAAAGGAUCAACCUGGCCCCUCUUUCUGGUUUUCUUCUCUGAAGAUUGGCUUGCGUCGUCUGCUUGGCAACAUUUUUCAGACUGCUGGCUAUUAGCAGACAGAGCAUGCGCAGAAGAAGUCGAGCCAACUGGGAAACGGCGCUUUGGGGCUGGGGGUCAACUCCAGACAGUGGGACAGGCCAGAGCACGUCGUGGGGGUCACUCCCCUCAAGGAAGUUUCCCACAGCUGGGGACACUACGUCCUUGAACCCUACAGCAUGGUUCACUAUUCCACUCCAUCAGGAUAAGGCAAUGGAACACACCUUUGUCUCUGAGUAUCUUCAACUAUUAAACACAGCUAUGUGGUGAGAGGCUGUUUAUCCUCAUCUCAGGAUGUGUUAAACCUUUUCCCUGGUUGAUAUGAAGAAUCUAUACACGUUGGUACUCUUCUGAUCUUUUGAUGCUGAAUAUGUGAAGGCCCUGAAGGAUACCCACAGUCCCAAGAGGCCAAGCUGAUUGUCACAGGAUGCCAAGAAUUUAGAAGAAGACCUAGGAAAAACAUGUCAUAAUUAGAGAUGAUGGUCAAGCUCAUUCUUUCCCUGAUGAUACCUCAGGUUGCUCUCAUGAGUAGAAGGCACCAAAACCAAGAGGUUAUAGGAAAAUGUCCUGACGGAAGAAGGAGUUUUCCUCUUACUCCUAUUAUCCUUGUUCAGAAUGUAAGCUUUGGAACUAGACAAGGUUAAGAUCUCCUGCCUGAGGUCUCUCUCUGCAAAGACGUGAAGGCCUAGCAUAAUCAAUUCUUAUCGAUGAAGGAUGGCUUCUCUACACGUGAGGACUCUUACUCAGGAAGUUACCACCUCCACAUGCUGGUUACAGGGACUUCAAGAGCCAAGUGGCUGAGCAGACUCAGGCUCAUAGCUGGCACCCAACACUGUCCACAGCAGCCUUGUGGCCUCCGCCUGAUUUCUGAACUUGUUUUCAGCCUCUAUGUGAAAGAUUUUCUCACUCGGUCUUCAGCAAAUCCCAGUGGGAGUCCACACCACUCCUACCUUACCUCCAUACUGGAAUCGCUUUAGAUAACAGCCCAUUGAGUGUGAUGGAACAGCAAGGGCAACCUCAGAGACUCAGCGCUGACUUCUAGGAGUUAAAAACAUGGGAUUCUUCUGAUUUUAGACAUAUCUUAUGGAGUGGUUCCAUAUUUUGAAGAAGAGUGGUGAUGACUUUAAAACAAUUCUUCCCUGUCGUGUCUUCUUUGCCCUUCUACAGAGACUUUAAGCUUCAUUUAAUUUCUCCUGAAAAAGAAAAAGACACAUAAAGGAGAAAGAGCCUCAUAGGAUCACAUAUUAGGUUAUUACAGGCCAAAGACUGCAAGUGGAAAAGUCCUAGUGCUGGCUUUCCCUGUCUUGGCCCCCCAAAAAAUCCCUGGGAAAAAAUAAUAAGAGGACACUGCAUCUCAGUUGCAAAGGGAGACU